GUCCUUGACCCAGUCAGUCUAGUGAAGGCAGCCGUAGGCUUGCUGUGCACUUCUGGGUCCCACUCAUCCAAAGUCCUCUAUAACUGCUAUCUGAUGCCUGCUAUAACUGGAUGAGCCUGUAAGCCACAAUGUCCCCAUCACUAAGCCAAUGUGUGGCAUACAGGAGAUGUUAAAAAUGGCCUUAGGUCCCGGCUCCCUCCACUCACCACCGUAUGCUCACACCACAGAGUCAGGCAGUAGUUUUUCACUUGGCCCCAGGCAUCCUUCAUGCUUUCUUCGGACAGGAGCAGAAGCUCGUGGCUGUCCCGACGCCGGUAGCUGGUAGGGAUGCUCAGUUUAGUGUGUUCUGGCGAGAGCGCCAGCUUCUUAGACACCAUGUUCCGAAGCUGGCUGUAGGGGAGGCCAAGCCGCGUCUCCAUGACCACUGUGUAUUUGUAAUGCACCUUGAGCAUGUAAGGCAUAGGCACGCUGAGCUUCAGUUCCUGAGGCAGGAGGAAGGAAGACCACCUUAGCGGCUGAGGUUGUUGACAGCAUCCUGGACCACCACAGCCUUCCACCACUUUGUGUAUGGGCACCAGGAGUG
rnacentral:lncRNA from 1 species